UCUUCCGUUCUAGGAUAACAGGUAAAGACAUUUGGCUCUUACCUGAUAAUAAUACAGUGUGAUAUCCUGUCCAGACAGUGAGAGUAGAAAUGAUGACAGUUAUAUCCUUAAAGGGAAAAGCAGCAGUGUAUUUUUAGUAGUCGAGCUCAC